UACGUAGGGUGCAAGCGUUAAUCGGAAUUACUGGGCGUAAAGCGUGCGCAGGCGGUUUUGUAAGUUUGUCGUGAAAUCCCCGGGCUCAACCUGGGAAUUGCGUUGGAGACUGCAAGGCUUGAAUCUGGCAGAGGGGGGUAGAAUUCCACGUGUAGCAGUGAAAUGCGUAGAGAUGUGGAGGAACACCGAUGGCGAAGGCAGCCCCCUGGGUCAAGAUUGACGCUCAUGCACGAAAGCGUGGGGAGCAAACAGG
rnacentral:rRNA from 1 species